rnacentral:rRNA from 1 species
GUCUACGGCCAUGCCACCCCGAAUAAGCCCGAUAUCUGAUCUCAGAAGCUAAGCAGGGUCAGGCCUGGUUAGUACGUGGAUGGGAGACCACCUAGGAAGACCAGGUGCUGUAGGCA